GAUGAACGCUGCCAGAAUGCUUAACACAUGCAAGUCCACUUGAACUUCGGUUUGGGUGGCGGACGGGUGAGUAACGCGUAAAGAACUUGCCUCACAGAUAGGGACAACAUUUGGAAACGAAUGCUAAUACCUGAUAUUAUGAUUUUAGGGCAUCCUAGGAUUAUGAAAGCUAUAUGCGCUGUGAGAGAGCUUUGCGUCCCAUUAGCUAGUUGGAGAGGUAACGGCUCACCAAGGCGAUGAUGGGUAGCCGGCCUGAGAGGGUGAUCGGCCACAAGGGGACUGAGACACGGCCCUUACUCCUACGGGAGGCAGCAGUGGGGAAUAUUGGACAAUGGACCAAGAGUCUGAUCCAGCAAUUCUGUGUGCACGAUGAAGUUUUUCGGAAUGUAAAGUGCUUUCAGUUGGGAAGAAAAAAAUGACGGUACCAACAGAAGAAGUGACGGCUAAAUACGUG
rnacentral:rRNA from 1 species